GAUCUCAAAUCAGGUAGGACUACCCGCUGAACUUAAGCAUAUCAAUAAGCGGAGGAAAAGAAACUAACAAGGAUUCCCCUAGUAACUGCGAGUGAAGCGGGAAAAGCUCAAAUUUAAAAUCUGGCGUGCCUCUGGUCGUCCGAGUUGUAGUUUAGAGAAGCGUUUUCUGUGUUGGACCGUGUAUAAGUCUCUUGGAACAGGGCGUCAUAGAGGGUGAGAAUCCCGUCUUUGACACGGACUACCAAUGCUUUGUGAUACGCUCUCAAAGAGUCGAGUUGUUUGGGAAUGCAGCUCAAAAUGGGUGGUAAAUUCCAUCUAAAGCUAAAUAUAGGCGAGAGACCGAUAGCGAACAAGUACCGUGAGGGAAAGAUGAAAAGCACUUUGGAAAGAGAGUUAAACAGUACGUGAAAUUGCUGAAAGGGAAACGC
rnacentral:rRNA from 1 species